ensembl:rRNA 5S_rRNA 5S ribosomal RNA
GUCUAUGGCCAUACCACCCUGAACACGCCCGAUCUCGUCUGAUCUCGGAAGCUAAGCAGUGUCGGGCCUGGUUAGUACUUGGAUGGGAGAAAGUUAUUUUAUUAAAGUCU